rnacentral:lncRNA from 1 species
GAAUUGAUCCGUGGCUUCGAUCGCUGGUAGGCAAGUCAAUGGCAUGAUUGGGGAAGCAAAUUCCUAGAGGAUGAGCCAACGGUGGCUUCUUGAGAAUAUAGUAUCUGCGGCCACCUCCACGGCCACCACCAUCAUGGUCAAAAGAACGACCAAUUGCCACAGUUAGCGAUGCAGAGGCUCGGCGGCGGAGGUGCGGCCGGCGGUGCAGUAGAGGCCGGAGAGGAGGGGCUCGGCACUGGAGCCCUCGAGGGAAGAGGGUGCUGUCGGCACCGCGGAGGCCCGUCGGCAGGAGCUCGUGGGGGAGGGGAGGGGGCGCGGUGCUGGAUCUGGUCUGUUCAAAUGCCUAACAAUGGACUUUCCCCCUUGUCCAACUUUACACAACUGUUGUGAGAUCAAGAAGGCCUAUUUCUACGACUUUCAUCUAGUUAGUUCAAAAACAUAGCAAUGGUCUUUCCCCCUUCCUCAGUAAAGAUGUCUUGGGCCAUGUCAACAUACCAAUCACAAAUGCAACAAUGUGUGUUAGAAAAUAGAUAAA